rnacentral:snoRNA from 1 species
GGGCAGAUCAGAUAUCGUGGUUUGGCACAAUCUGCCAUUGUACAGUAUCACCGAUUUGCCCAGAGUAAACGUAUUCUCAUAGUCCAUUUUGCUGGUACCCCACACAAUUUGGCUCUCCGAAUUCGACAAUA